CCUACGGGGGGCUGCAGUGGGGAAUUUUGGACAAUGGGGGCAACCCUGAUCCAGCCAUUCCGCGUGAGUGAAGAAGGCCUUCGGGUUGUAAAGCUCUUUUGUCCGGAGCGAAACGGGCGGCCCUAAUACGGUCGUCUACUGACGGUACCGGAAGAAUAAGCACCGGCUAACUACGUGCCAGCAGCCGCGGUAAUACGUAGGGUGCUAGCGGGAAUCGGAAUUACUGGGCGCAAAGCGGUAGGCCAGAUGUGAAAUCCCCGGGCUCAACCUGGGAAUGGCAUUUGUGACUGCAAUGCUGGAGUGGGGCAGAGGGGACUAGAAUUCCUGGUGUAGCAGUGAAAUGCGUAGAUAUCAGGAGGAAUACCGAUGGCGAAGGCAGGUCCCUGGGUUAACACUGACGCUCAUGCACGAAAGCGUGGGGAGCAAACAGGAUUAGAUACCCGGGUAGUC
rnacentral:rRNA from 1 species